rnacentral:rRNA from 1 species
GACGAACGCUGGCGGCGUGCUUAACACAUGCAAGUCGAGCGGUAAGGCCCUUUCGGGGGUACACGAGCGGCGAACGGGUGAGUAACACGUGGGUGACCUGCCCUCAGCUCUGGGAUAAGCCCGGGAAACCGGGUCUAAUACUGGAUAUGACUCCAUGACGCAUGUUGUGGGGUGGAAAGCCUUGUGCGGCUGAGGAUGGGCCCGCGGCCUAUCAGCUUGUUGGUGGGGUGAUGGCCUACCAAGGCGACGACGGGUAGCCGGCCUGAGAGGGCGACCGGCCACACUGGGACUGAGACACGGCCCAGACUCCUACGGGAGGCAGCAGUGGGGAAUCUUGCGCAAUGGGCGAAAGCCUGACGCAGCGACGCCGCGUGAGGGAUGACGGCCUCGGUU